UAUCAAGUUAGCCAGUUUCGUAACACCGAGUUAUUAAACUGUUUAAAAUUUUGAUUGUUUGUAUUGUCUUUAAUUGUGUUUAAUUUUUCCUUUACGCCUGAUUAUUGAUUAGCAACUUACUAGCAAUUCUCUGUUCGUGAUCGUCAAUUUUUAUGGAGAUUUUUGGUUCAAUCGUGUAUAAUAAAAUAUGCCUGGAAAGGACUUAUCCAGUCACUCUCAUCUUUACCUUUUAAUAUUUCAUUUGUUUUUCAACAUCUACACACAAUUUUCAUUAAUUUAUUUACUAAUUCACAACAUAAGCUUUGCUGAUUGAUGAAUUAUCAACGAAAGGGUGAAUUGAAACUCAGGAAUUUGAAAUAUUUGAUUCAACAUAAGAUCUUGAAUUACGAUUACUUAACUUUACUGAAAAUAGCUACUUUUUUUGUAGCCGUUUUCAAUAUUUGUGAAAAUUUUGCCUCAACCGCAAGUGUUUUUAAAAGUUCAUUAUUUUACCCAAAAAUUCAACAAAAGAGAUGAAGAACAAUCAAUUGACAAUCAAUCUAAUAAUGCCUUUAAUGGAUUAAAAAUGAUUGUUCGUAAAGAUGAUGAGUGUGAACAUAAAUAACAGCAAAACUCAACAGCAAAAGGAGUCAAAAAAAGAUUAUGCACAAUCAUCAACGCUUCUGGUUUAACCUAUCCAAAAUAAUCAACGUAAACUUGAGUUUAACUGGUAUUUGAGAGGCAACAAAAUUGGAUUAAAGCAGGAAAAUAAUAGCAAAAAUUGAUCGCAAGUCAACAAGUAAUUUAGGUGAUUUUGGGUCCAAGUUACACUGAAGAUAUCACAAGACAAAAUAUGGAAUCACCUUAUUUUUUGGAGUAAAAUUUUUCCAGGUUAUUGGUCUUGCUUAAAACUCCAGUGAAUUUUAUCCUGUCAAGUUGAAGAUUGUGAGUCCGUCAAAUGAAUUAACACGCUUGUUGAUUCGCCAGCUCAUGCUACUUUCAUCCUCAUCCUAAUCAUCAUGAUUACCAUCUUUCCCUCAUCAACAUCAUCAUCCUGUUCUGUUCUGUGAAACAAUUUGAUUAAACUUGAAGAGGCUCACUUGAUUUAUAUUAUUAGCAUUUUUGGUUGUUACUGUUGCUGUUGUAGUUAUGAUUACAUUUAACAGAUGGAAAGCUUUUUCUUCUCUUUUCUUCACUCACCUCUUUAGCACAAGGAAAGGAUACGUGAAAUCAGAUGUAAAUGUUGAUUGUUACAAGUUACAUCUUAACAAUACAAUCAGAUUGGACUGGAGAAUGUAAUUUCAAGUUGAAUUAAAUGUUUUCAACAACAUUUUAUUUACCUUUAUUGAUGAUUUAUUCGUAGAUGAUUAAGAUUGACUAACAUUGGAUUGACCAUUAAAAGGGAUUGGGAAAACCUUCAUCAUCAUCAAGUCAACCCCAACCAGUUGAACCCAGAGUGAGGAGACCUUAAAGAUUAAUCUGAUUGUCUACAUAAUUAAACCUGUGAAGAUCAACCAUCAAUCAUUCAUCAUCUUCAUUAUACUCAGGCUCAUCAUCAAUAGUAGGCCUACAAAAUUAACAACGGAACAUAACUUAAGAGGCCUUAAUGUAUAUUUUAUACAAAUCGCAAUCAACAUGAAAAUGGUUGUAAAUAUUGUUUGAAAAGCAGAAACUUGGUGGUCUAAAUUGGUGGGCUCGAUGAUAAUCAAUUAAACCCCUCAAAUCUAGUUGAAUGAAAAGUGGGAGGAUUUGAUAAGCAAAUUAUGGACAACAAUUGGACCUGAAACCAAACCUGAAAACCCAAAAUUCAAUGUUUUUUCUCAACUGACCUGAUACAUUACAAUCAACUUGACGGAUCGCUGAAAGUAAACAUAUUAUACUCUUAUUGGAAGUAAAAUUGGAAACUUUUAACCUUAAAUAGGACCAGUAAUUAAGGUUUUAAUUAUUGAAGCUCAUUUGGCUGGAUUUUUCGAUUUAUCCAUUUCAUCCCUUUGUUUCCUCCACUAAAUGGAUGGCAAAGACACGAUCAAUGGACACGAUUUGAAACAUGAUGACCAUUGUUAACAUGAUUAGAUAAUGAUUCCAGGACAAUCGGCUAAUGAUAAUUGUUGGACUCAUCUUUGGACUGUUGAUCAUCAACAAAUGAUGUUACCUUGGCUAACGAUUAUUGUUCAAUCAUUAUUUAUCAUCAUUUACCCUCGGUUGAUGUCCAAUUGUAGUUAUACAUAUUUUGCUUAAUGUAACAUCAUUAGAUGGAAACAAGGAUAAAGUGCAACUUCCUAAUUCCUGGAAUUAAAAUUGUAAUCAUUUAAAUAUUGCUUCACCAACAACGGGACAAUAUUUUUUGUUAUUCAUGACAAUAACACAUUUAAAAGCUAACCUAAUCAACUCAAUCAUUUACAUUUAAAUAACAUUGAUGUUGACAUUUAUUUGCGUGUUUCCUCCUGUUUAACGGUUAGACAUUAAAAUUGUUGAUUUAAAUAUGAAUAAAUAAUAAAGUUAAUCGAGAGGUUAAUUUGUUUAUUA